UUUCGAAUAGCGAUUAGUGGAACUUCUACUGUUAGCGCGUGUCGAUUUCUUGAAACAAUUUAAUUGGUUUGUGAGCUCACGAGAAAAUACUCGGAAUGCUUUUAGUUAAAUAUCAUGGUCAAAUAUGUAAACAUGUCGAGGUUGUUGUUAUACAGCGAUAUUUUCAAAUAUACUGUACUUUAACAAGCAAAUUUACUGUACUGUGCUACAGCAACUGUCCAGUCACGCAUACGUCAUAAAAAGCCUAUAUAAACUUUAUAAACAAAAGAUAAAACGGAACGGCGAACAUGCAGAUUUGGCCAUCUCAAAUA